rnacentral:rRNA from 2 species
GAAAAGAAACCAACAGGGAUUGCCCUAGUAACGGCGAGUGAAGCGGCAACAGCUCAAAUUUGAAAUCUGGCUCUUUUAGAGUCCGAGUUGUAAUUUGCAGAGGGCGCUUUGGCGUUGGCAGCGGUCCAAGUUCUUUGGAACAGGACGUCACAGAGGGUGAGAAUCCCGUACGUGGUCGCUAGCCUUCGCCGUGUAAAGCCCCUUCGACGAGUCGAGUUGUUUGGGAAUGCAGCUCUAAAUGGGAGGUAAAUUUCUUCUAAAGCUAAAUACUGGCCAGAGACCGAUAGCGCACAAGUAGAGUGAUCGAAAGAUGAAAAGCACUUUGGAAAGAGAGUCAAAUAGCACGUGAAAUUGUUGAAAGGGAAGCGCUUGCAGCCAGACUUGCCUGUAGUUGCUUAUCCGGACUUUUGUCCGGUGCACUCUUCUGCGGGCAGGCCAGCAUCAGUUUGGGCGGUUGGAUAAAGGUCUCUGUCAUGUACCUCCUUUCGGGGAGGCCUUAUAGGGGAGACGACAUGCAACCAGCCUGGACUGAGGUCCGCGCAUCUGCUAGGAUGCUGGCGUAAUGGCUGUAAGCGGCCCGUCUUGAAACACGGACCAAGGAGUCUAACAUCUAUGCGAGUGUUUGGGUGUCAAGCCCAGACGCGUAAUGAAAGUGAACGGAGGUGGGAACCUUUUAGGUGGACCAUCGACCGAUCCUGAUGUCUUCGGAAGGAUUUGAGUAAGAGCAUGGCUGUUGGGACCCGAAAGAUGGUGAACUAUGCUUGAAUAGGGUGAAGCCAGAGGAAACUCUGGUGGAGGCUCGCAGCGGUUCUGACGUGCAAAUCGAUCGUCAAAUUUGGGCAUAGGGGCGAAAGACUAAUCGAAC